rnacentral:sRNA from 1 species
CAACAACGGAAAGGAGGUGGUCGAAUGUCUCAUUGUCUCACGCCGCUCGCGGCAAGUCUGAUGGACGUGACCUCCACCGUGGAGUUUCUCGCCUGACGAGAGCCGCGAAUGGCUGACAAUGGAAAGGCCGCCUUCGAAAGAGGGCGGCCUU